rnacentral:rRNA from 1 species
GCCCAGACUCCUACGGGAGGCAGCAGUCAGGAAUAUUGCGCAAUGGAGGAAACUCUGACGCAGUGACGCCGCGUGCAGGAAGAAGGUUUUCGGAUUGUAAACUGCUUUAGACAGGGAAGAUAAUGACAGUACCUGUAGAAUAAGCUUCGGCUAACUACGUGCCAGCAGCCGCGGUAAUACGUAGGGAGCAAGCGUUAUCCGGAUUUAUUGGGUGUAAAGGGUGCGUAGACGGGAAUGCAAGUUAGUUGUGAAAUCCCUCGGCUUAACUGAGGAGCUGCAACUAAAACUACAUUUCUUGAGUGCUGGAGAGGAAAGUGGAAUUCCUAGUGUAGCGGUGAAAUGCGUAGAUAUUAGGAGGAACACCAGUGGCGAAGGCGACUUUCUGGACAGUAACUGACGUUGAGGCACGAAAGUGUGGGGAGCAAACAGGAUUAGAUACCCGUGUA